rnacentral:lncRNA from 1 species
GUCGGGAGCGGCGUGGCCCUGGGGUGGCUGCCCUGAGGCCGGGCCCGCUGGCGCCGAGUGUGAGCGUGGUGCUGUCAUUGUGAUCAGCAGGCAUCCAGUGUGAGCAUUCAGCGCAGCUAUCUGCAGAGAGGUUCAAAUUGCAGGAUAUGGAAGCACCUAGGAGCAAAAACCCCAGUAUUCAUUUCAGUGCAUGUAUAGAGUGCUUAGAGCCCAG